rnacentral:rRNA from 1 species
ACUCCUACGGGAGGCAGCAGUGGGGAAUAUUGCACAAUGGGGGAAACCCUGAUGCAGCCAUGCCGCGUGUGUGAAGAAGGCCUUGGGUUGUAAAGCACUUUCAGUAGGGAGGAAGGUAGUGUAGUUAACACCUGCAUUAUUUGUACGUUACCUACAGAAGAAGCACCGGCUAACUCCGUGCCAGCAGCCGCGGUAAGUACGGAGGGUGCGAGCGUUAAUCGGAAUUACUGGGCGUAAAGCGCAUGCAGGCGGCCUGUUAAGUCAGAUGUGAAAGCCCGGGGCUUAACCUCGGAAUUGCAUUUGAAACUGGCAGGCUAGAGUCUUGUAGAGGGGUUAGAAUUUCAGGUGUAGCGGUGAAAUGCGUAGAGAUCUGAAGGAUACCAGU